rnacentral:rRNA from 1 species
GAUGAACGCUAGCGGCAGGCUUAACACAUGCAAGUCGAGGGGUAUAGUUCUUCGGAACUAGAGACCGGCGCACGGGUGCGUAACGCGUAUGCAAUCUACCUUUUGCAGAGGGAUAGCCCAGAGAAAUUUGGAUUAAUACCUCAUGGUAUGUGAGAAUGGCAUCAUUUUCACAUUAAAGUCACAACGGCAAAAGAUGAGCAUGCGUCCCAUUAGCUUGUUGGUAAGGUAACGGCUUACCAAGGCAACGAUGGGUAGGGGUCCUGAGAGGGAGAUCCCCCACACUGGUACUGAGACACGGACCAGACUCCUACGGGAGGCAGCAGUGAGGAAUAUUGGACAAUGGGCGCAAGCCUGAUCCAGCCAUGCCGCGAGCAGGAUGACGGUCCUAUGGAUUGUAAACUGCUUUUGUACAGGAAGAAACACUGGUUCGUGAACCAGCUUGACGGUACUGUAAGAAUAAGGAUCGGCUAACUCCGUGCCAGCAGCCGCGUAAAAC